GCAAGUCGAGCGAUGAAGCUCCUUCGGGAGUGGAUUAGCGGCGGACGGGUGAGUAACACGUGGGUAACCUGCCUCAUAGAGGGGAAUAGCCUUUCGAAAGGAAGAUUAAUACCGCAUAAGAUUGUAGUACCGCAUGGUACAGCAAUUAAAGGAGUAAUCCGCUAUGAGAUGGACCCGCGUCGCAUUAGCUAGUUGGUGAGGUAACGGCUCACCAAGGCGACGAUGCGUAGCCGACCUGAGAGGGUGAUCGGCCACAUUGGGACUGAGACACGGCCCAGACUCCUACGGGAGGCAGCAGUGGGGAAUAUUGCACAAUGGGGGAAACCCUGAUGCAGCAACGCCGCGUGAGUGAUGACGGUCUUCGGAUUGUAAAGCUCUGUCUUUAGGGACGAUAAUGACGGUACCUAAGGAGGAAGCCACGGCUAACUACGUGCCAGCAGCCGCGGUAAUACGUAGGUGGCAAGCGUUGUCCGGAUUUACUGGGCGUAAAGGGAGCGUAGGUGGAUAUUUAAGUGGGAUGUGAAAUACCCGGGCUUAACCUGGGUGCUGCAUUCCAAACUGGAUAUCUAGAGUGCAGGAGAGGAAAGGAGAAUUCCUAGUGUAGCGGUGAAAUGCGUAGAGAUUAGGAAGAAUACCAGUGGCGAAGGCGCCUUUCUGGACUGUAA
rnacentral:rRNA from 1 species